AAUAUUGGGACAUAUAAAAAAAAAAAGGAGACAACUCCGCAGAGUUCCGUAGAGUAGCUGUUGACAUUAUAGUUGUGCAGGCACUUUGUUGACUCUAGAGAACCUCGGGCCAAUCGCACAUCCCCGUGGCGGCGACUUUGCAUGCGGAUGUCAUCCAUAUCAAGUUUCGAUGCCAGUUUCUGCGCCUACAAUGGUGACCACGGGUAACAGGGGAUCAGGGUUCCAUACCGUACAGGGACCCUGAGAAAUGGCUACCACGUGCAAGGAAGGCAGCAGGCGCGCAAAUGACCCACUCCCGACGCAGGAAGGUAGUGA